rnacentral:rRNA from 1 species
UACAGAGGUCUCAAGCGUUGUUCGGAUUCAUUGGGCGUAAAGGGUGCGUAGGUGGCGCUGUAAGUCGGGUGUGAAAUUUCGGAGCUUAACUCCGAAACUGCAUUCGAUACUGCGGUGCUUGAGGACUGGAGGGGAGACUGGAAUUUAUGGUGUAGCAGUGAAAUGCGUAGAGAUCAUAAGGAAGACCAGUGGCGAAGGCGGGUCUCUGGACAGUUCCUGACACUGAGGCACGAAGGCCAGGGGAGCAAACGGG